rnacentral:rRNA from 1 species
GACGAACGCUGGCGGCGUGCUUAACACAUGCAAGUCGAACGAGUGGCGAACGGGUGAGUAACGCGUGGGUGAUCUGCCUUGCACUCUGGGAUAAGCGUGGGAAACUGGGUCUAAUACCGGAUAGUGCAAGUUGAGCUCGCGGCCUAUCAGCUUGUUGGUGGGGUAAUGGCCUACCAAGGCGUCGACGGGUAGCCGGCCUGAGAGGGUGUACGGCCGCAUUGGGACUGAGGUACGGCCCAGACGCCGACGGGAGGCAGCAGGGGGGAAGAUUGCACAAUGAGCGGAGGCCUGAUGCAGCGACGCCGCGUGGGGGAUGACGGCCUUCGGGGUGUAAACUCCUGUCGACAGGGACGCGGUACCUGUAUAGGAAGCACCGGCUAACUACGUGCCAGCAGCCGCGGUAAUUC